rnacentral:rRNA from 1 species
AGAGUUUGAUCCUGGCUCAGAUUGAACGCUGGCGGUAUGCUUAACACAUGCAAGUCGAACGGAAACGAUACUAGCUUGCUAGUAGGCGUCGAGUGGCGGACGGGUGAGUAACGCGUAGGAAUCUGCCUGAUAGUGGGGGAUAGCCCGAAGAAAUUCGGAUUAAUACCGCAUAAUCUAUUCGUAGUAAAGUGGGGGACUUUCGAGCCUCACGCUAUCAGAUGAGCCUGCGUAAGAUUAGCUUGUUGGUAGGGUAAAAGCCUACCAAGGCAACGAUCUUUAGCUGGUCUGAGAGGACGAUCAGCCACAUUGGGACUGAGACACGGCCCAGACUUCUACGGAAGGCAGCAGUUAGGAAUAUUGGACAAUGGGGGCAACCCUGAUCCAGCUAUACCGCGUGUGUGAAGAAGGCCCUAGGGUUGUAAAGCACUUUAAGCAGGGAAGAAGCAUGUUAAGUUAAUACCUUAACAUGUUGACGUUACCUGAAGAAUAAGGACCGGCUAACUCCGUGCCAGCAGCCGCGGUAAUACGGAGGGUGCAAGCGUUAAUCGGAAUUACUGGGCGUAAAGCGCGCGUAGGCGGUUUAAUAAGUUGUAUGUGAAAGCCCUGGGCUCAACCUAGGAACUGCAUAUAAAACUAUUAAGCUAGAGGACGAGAGAGGAGAGUAGAAUUUCAGGUGUAGCGGUGAAAUGCGUAGAUAUCUGAAGGAAUACCAAUGGCGAAGGCAGCUCUCUGGCUCGUUUCUGACGCUAAGGUGCGAAAGCGUGGGUAGCAAACAGGAUUAGAUACCCUGGUAGUCCACGCCGUAAACGAUGAUAACUAGCCGUUGGGCAGAUUUAACUGUUCAGUGGCACAGCUAACGCAUUAAGUUAUCCGCCUGGGGAGUACGGCCG